ACUCUCUUUUGGAAAUGAGAAUUGACAUUGACGUGAUGACUACGGACAGAUCCCCAUCUAUAAGAAAGAUCAUGAGGGUUGAUUAUCCACAAAUUCAUUAUGAGUUUGACAUCUGGCACGUAGUGAAGGGUUUAUUCAAGAAAUUACUAUCAGUUUCUAAAAAGAAAGAAAAUGUAGACCUUCAGCCAUGGAUUAAAAGCAUAUGCAACCAUUUGUGGUAUGCAUGUGCAUCCUGCAACGGUGACCCAGAGGUUUUGACAGAAAAGUGGAAAUCUCUGCUCCAUCACAUUUGCGGUGAACACAGGUGGGAAGAAAAUGGACAUCAACAAACGUGUGCCCACGAUGACCUCACCCAUGACCAGCAAAGGAGGAAACGAUGGCUACGAAAAGAGUCCACAGCCUUCCGCACACUAUCAACACUGGUUUUACAUCCCAAUCUGUUGAAGGACAUGAGGCAAAUGGCCCUCUUCAAGCACA